UGGGUAACCUGCCCCUCUCUCUGGGAUAACCCCGGGAAACCGGAGCUAAUACCGGAUACUCCGGCUGGAUCGCAUGGUCCGGCCGGGAAAGGUCCGCCGGAGAGGGAUGGGCCCCGCAGCCUAUCAGCUUGUUGGUGAGGUAACGGCUCACCAAGGCUACGACGGGUAGCUGGUCUGAGAGGACGACCAGCCACACUGGAACUGAGAUACCGGCCCAGACCUCCGUACGGGAGGCA
rnacentral:rRNA from 1 species